GCGAAGGUGGCGGAAUAGGUAGACGCACUGGAUUUAGGUUCCAGCGCCGCAAGGCAUGGGGGUUCGAGUCCCUUCCUUCGCACCA
rnacentral:tRNA from 1 species